rnacentral:rRNA from 1 species
AGCGAACGCUGGCGGCAGGCCUAAAACAUGCAAGUCGAACGAACCCUUCGGGGUUAGUGGCGGACGGGUGAGUAACACGUGGGAACGUGCCCUUUGGUUCGGAACAACUCAGGGAAACUUGAGCUAAUACCGGAUGUGCCCUUCGGGGGAAAGAUUAAACCCCAUUGGAGCGGCCCGCGUCUGAUUAGCUAGAUGGUGGGGUAAAGGCCCACCAAGGCUACGAUCAGUAGCGGGUCUGGGCGGAUGAUCAGCCACACUGGGACUGGGACACGGCCCAGACUCCUCCGGGAGGCAGCAGUUAGGAAACUUGGGCAAGGGGCGGAAGCCUGACCCAGCCAUGCCGCGUGAAUGAUGAAGGUCUUAGGAUUGUAAAAUUCUUUCAGCGGGGACGAUAAUGACGGUACCCGCAGAAGAAGCCCCGGCUAACUUCGUGCCAGCCGCCGCCGUAACAC